UUUGUUUCAAAAUAAAAUGCUUAUCAAAACUAUUAAAAUUUAUUUGUAUGCCUUGCAUUAUAUCGUGCAUCCUUUUGAAAUAGCAAAUAUAACAUGUAUUUAUUCAUUAAUGCACAAAAUUGUUACAUAUACAUAUGGCAAGGUAGAUAUAGGCUUUACACAUAAGUGGUCAAAAUCAGUAGCGUCCUGUCGCAACAGUACAGUGGCAUAGCAGUGAAACAGCUCGUAAAGGAUCUUUUAGCAAAAUUAAUAGCAUUUUUGCUUGAAAAAAUUUAGAUCAAUCAGGGAGCGAUAAUGAUCAUUACUGAUAUGAGAUAAAACCAAAAUUGGAUCUGUCGUGGAUUGCUAAUGAUAUAAUAAAAACCUGAACUGUGUUCAACCAAAAUUUUAUAACCUGAAAAAGAGGAACAAAUAUAAAAUUCACUCGUCUUUCGGUUCAUGUUAUAUCAUUUUUAAACAUUGUGGAUAACAGAAUGACAUCUAACAGUAAUAAUCAUAUUGUUUGGAUUGAUAUGGAGAUGACUGGGCUUGAUAUAGAGAAACAUCAUAUAUUAGAAAUUGCUUGUGUUGUAACAGAUAUGACAUUAAAGAUUAUUAGUGAAGAAUUAAAUAUUAUAAUACAUCAAUCGGAUACGAUAUUGAAUAAUAUGG